GUUGUACUCCCUCUGUUCGAAAUUACUUGUCUCGGAAAUGGAUGUAUCUAGAACUAAAAUACAUCUAGAUACAUUCAUUUCUACGACAAGUAAUUCCGAACGGAGGGAGUAUAUA
rnacentral:pre_miRNA from 1 species